rnacentral:rRNA from 1 species
AGGUCUCCGUUGGUGAACCAGCGGAGGGAUCAUUACUGAGUUUACGCUCUACAACCCUUUGUGAACAUACCUAUAACUGUUGCUUCGGCGGGUAGGGUCUCCGUGACCCUCCCGGCCUCCCGCCCCCGGGCGGGUCGGCGCCCGCCGGAGGAUAACCAAACUCUGAUUUAACGACGUUUCUUCUGAGUGGUACAAGCAAAUAAUCAAAACUUUUAACAACGGAUCUCUUGGUUCUGGCAUCGAUGAAGAACGCAGCGAAAUGCGAUAAGUAAUGUGAAUUGCAGAAUUCAGUGAAUCAUCGAAUCUUUGAACGCACAUUGCGCCCGCCAGCAUUCUGGCGGGCAUGCCUGUUCGAGCGUCAUUUCAACCCUCAAGCUCUGCUUGGUGUUGGGGCCCUACAGCUGAUGUAGGCCCUCAAAGGUAGUGGCGGACCCUCCCGGAGCCUCCUUUGCGUAGUAACUUUACGUCUCGCACUGGGAUCCGGAGGGACUCUUGCCGUAAAACCCCCAAUUUUCCAAAGGUUGACCUCGGAUCAGGUAGGAAUACCCGCUGAACUUAAGCAUAUC